rnacentral:misc_RNA from 1 species
GAUGAAGAACGCAGCGAAAUGCGAUAAGUAGUGUGAAUUGCAGAAUUCAGUGAAUCAUCGAAUCUUUGAACGCACAUUGCGCCCCUUGGUAUCCCGAGGGGCAUGCCUGUUCGAGCGUCAUUUCACCACUCAAGCCUGGCUUGGUGUUGGGCCUCCGUCCUCCUCCCGGGGGACGGGCCCGAAAGGCAGCGGCGGCACCGCGUCCGGUCCUCGAGCGUAUGGGGCUUCGUCACCCGCUCUUGUAGGCCCGGCCGGCGCUUGCCGACACAUCAAUCUUUUUUCCAGGUUGACCUCGGAUCAGGUAGGGAUACCCGCUGAACUUAAGCAUAUCAAUAAGCGGAGGA